UACGUAGGGGGCAAGCGUUGUCCGGAAUCAUUGGGCGUAAAGAGCGUGUAGGCGGUUCGGUAAGUCGGCUGUGAAAUCCCGAGGCUCAACCUCGGGUCUGCAGUCGAUACGAGCAAACUAGAGUGUUGCAGGGGAGACUGGAAUUCCUGGUGUAGCGGUGAAAUGCGCAGAUAUCAGGAAGAACACCCGUGGCGAAGGCGGCUCUCUGGGACGGUACUGACGCUGAGACGCGAAAGCGUGGGGAGCGAACAGG
rnacentral:rRNA from 1 species